rnacentral:rRNA from 1 species
AGUGAACGCUGGCGGUAGGCCUAACACAUGCAAGUCGAACGGCAGCACAGGAGAGCUUGCUCUCUGGGUGGCGAGUGGCGGACGGGUGAGGAAUACAUCGGAAUCUACUCUGUCGUGGGGGAUAACGUAGGGAAACUUACGCUAAUACCGCAUACGACCUACGGGUGAAAGCAGGGAUCUUCGGACCUUGCGCGAAUGCAUGAGCUGAUGUCGGAUUAGCUAGUUUGCGGGGUAAAGGCCCACCAAGGCGACGAUCCGUAGCUGGUCUGAGAGGAUGAUCAGCCACACUGGAACUGAGAUACGGUCCAGACUCCUAUGGGAGGCAGCAGUGGGGAAUAUUGGACAAUGGGCGCAAGCCUGAUCCAGCCAUACCGCGUGGGUGAAGAAGGCCUUCGGGUUGUAAAGCCCUUUUGUUGGGAAAGAAAUCCAGCUGGCUAAUACCCGGUUGGGAUGACGGUACCCAAAGAAUAAGCACCGGCUAACUUCGUGCCAGCAGCCGCCGUAA